rnacentral:rRNA from 1 species
AUUGAACGCUGGCGGCAUGCUUUACACAUGCAAGUCGAACGGCAGCGCGGGGGCAACCCUGGCGGCGAGUGGCGAACGGGUGAGUAAUGUAUCGGAACGUAUCCUGUAAUGGGGGAUAACCAGUCGAAAGAUUGGGUAAUACCGCAUACGCACGAGAGUGGAAAGUAGGGGAUCGCAAGACCUUACGUUAUAGGAGCGGCCGAUAUCUGAUUAGCUAGUUGGUGGGGUAAAGGCCUACCAAGGCGACGAUCAGUAGCUGGUCUGAGAGGAUGAUCAGCCACACUGGAACUGAGACACGGUCCAGACUCCUACGGGAGGCAGCAGUGAGGAAUAUUGCGCAAUGGGGGCAACCCUGACGCAGCAACGCCGCGUGAGUGAGGAAGGUUUUCGGACUGUAAAGCUCUGUCGAGCGGGAAGAAGUGUACCAUGGCUAAUAUCCAUGAUAUUUGACGGUACCGCUAGAGGAAGCACCGGCUAACUCCGUGCC